rnacentral:rRNA from 1 species
GAUGAACGCUGGCGGCGUGCCUAAUACAUGCAAGUCGAGCGAACGGACGAGAAGCUUGCUUCUCUGAUGUUAGCGGCGGACGGGUGAGUAACACGUGGAUAACCUACCUAUAAGACUGGGAUAACUUCGGGAAACCGUAGCUAAUACCGGAUAAUAUUUUGAACCGCAUGGUUCAAAAGUGAAAGACGGUCUUGCUGUCACUUAUAGAUGGAUCCGCGCUGCAUUAGCUAGUUGGUAAGGUAACGGCUUACCAAGGCAACGAUGCAUAGCCGACCUGAGAGGGUGAUGGCCACACUGGAACUGAGACACGGUCCAGACUCCUACGGGAGGCAGCAGUAGGGAAUCUUCCGCAAUGGGCGAAAGCCUGACGGAGCAACGCCGCGUGAGUGAUGAAGGUCUUCGGAUCGUAAAACUCUGUUAUUAGGGAAGAACAUAUGUGUAAGUAACUGUGCACAUCUUGACGGUACCUAAUCAGAAAGCCACGGCUAACUACGUG